rnacentral:rRNA from 1 species
UACGAAGGGGGCUAGCGUUGUUCGGAAUUACUGGGCGUAAAGGGCGCGUAGGCGGUACUUCAAGUCAGGCGUGAAAGCCCCGGGCUCAACCUGGGAACCGCGCUUGAGACUGGAGAACUAGAGUUCGGGAGAGGAUGGUGGAAUUCCCAGUGUAGAGGUGAAAUUCGUAGAUAUUGGGAAGAACACCGGUGGCGAAGGCGGCGACCUGGUCCUUAUACUGACGCUGAGGCGCGAAAGCGUGGGGAGCAAACAGG